rnacentral:tRNA from 1 species
GGGAGCAUGGCUCAAGGGGUAGAGCACUUGUCUUCUAGCAAGUGUGAGACCCUACGUUCAAAUCCCAGUACUACCA